GCACGCUCUGAAUUCUCGGAUGUGGCAUCCAUUAUCAACAAAUACUGGUGCUGGAGAGCAAAGCAUUGCACAAACACAGGAACUGUUGUAUGUGGAAGAGAUUUGCGCAACAAAGCGAGGAAAUAUUUCGUUAAUACGUGUGCUAUGUAUAAAGUUAAUUGUUUACGAAGAUACGGUUUUACUGCAACAAACAUGAGUAGAUGCAUUGAAUAUUGAUAUUUUUAAUUAAACUUAACUUGUGAUUUAUUAUUACCGUUUGUGAUUAUAAAUUAUUUAUUUGAAAAUGUUAUUUAAAUCACAUAUAACAUCAUUUUUUAUUUCACUUUCGUACUUCUAUACCUUUAUAAUAAACGGAAUUUGUCUUAAAGGCGAUGUUGAUCCAUACGAUGACCCAAUAACAAGAGAGAGGUUUGCUCAGUUCUAUUGCUUCAAAGAGAAGACAUGUACACCUGGCGGUGAUAGAGUGUGUGGCUUCGAUAAAAAAAAUUCAGUGUUGGCUGAAUUUGAAGAUUUGUGUAUUCUAUAUAGAGCCAACUGCAAUAGAAAAGGACUAUUCAUCGCGAUAAAGGAAUAUAUAUGCGCUGGUCAAAAAUUAUAUGAUGCACAAAAUUCAGUAAGAAGUCAAUAUGCGAUGGAAUGGGAACAUGUGCCUAGACUUAACAUAACUGCAGCAAGAAAGAAGGGAUAGAACAGCUAUACGGAAAUUAUUGAAUUAAAAAAAAUACUUCUAGCAAGUGAUUGCAUAUUCUAUUAUCGCUUAGAUAACAGUUAGUUGAAAUAAUAAUGAGGAUACAAUAAAUUGUCAAAAACCACCAGUCGACCAGUAAAAUUAUCAAAAUAUCAGUAAUUCUUGUUCAUUGCUUAUGGUUCGGUACAAUUAAGGUUCGGCCUUAUAAAUCAUAACUGAAGUACUUAUGUCGCGGUGUUUGUAGUUAAACUCCUUCGAAACGGCUUGACCGAUUCUCAUGAAAUUUUGAGUGCAUAUUGGGUAGGUCUGAGAAUCGGACAACAUCUAUUUUUCAUCCCCCUAAAUGUUAAGGGUGGUCCACGCUAAAGCUUUUUUUUAAAUAUUUUUUGACAUAAUUUUGUAAAUUUGUUUGAUUAUGAGUCAGCAUUAAAAAAUAC